rnacentral:rRNA from 1 species
CUGCUGCCUUCCGUAGGAGUCUGGUCCGUGUCUCAGUACCAGUGUGGGGGACCUUCCUCUCAGAACCCCUACGCAUCGUCGCCUCGGUGGGCCGUUACCCCGCCAACUAGCUAAUGCGACGCAUGACCAUCCGUAGCCGGAAUCGCUUCCUUUAAACCCGAGGAGAUGCCUCCUCGGGUUGUUACGCGGUAUUAGACGGAAUUUCUUCCGCUUAUCCCCCUGCUACGGGCAGGUUUCAUACGUGUUACUCACCCGUGCGCCGGUCGCCGGCGGGAGUA